AACGAACGUUGGCGGCGUGGAUUAGGCAUGCAAGUCGCGGGCGAAAGGUGACUUCGGUUACUGAUUAGACCGGCGAAAGGGGUAGUAAUGCGUGGGUAACCAACCCUCUGGAUGGGGAUAGCUACGGGAAACUGUAGGUAAUACCCAGCGACGUUAAAAGGUGGCAUCAUCUUUUAACCAAACGGUGUGAUUCCGCCAGAGGACGGGCUCACGUGGCAUUAGCUUGUUGGUAAGGUAACGGCUUACCAAGGCUGCGAUGCCUAGGGGGUGUGAGAGCAUGGCCCCCACCACUGGGACUGAGACACUGCCCAGACACCUGCGGGUGGCUGCAGUCGAGAAUCUUCGGCAAUGGGCGAAAGCCUGACCGAGCGACGCCGCGUGCGGGAUGAAGGCCUUCGGGUUGUAAACCGCUGUCAGUGGGGAGGAAAUGUAGGAGGGCCAUCCCUUCUACUUGACCUAUCCUCAGAGGAAGCACGGGCUAAGUUCGUGCCAGCCGCCGCCGUAACAC
rnacentral:rRNA from 1 species